rnacentral:tRNA from 1 species
UCCCUGGUAGUCCAGUGGUUAAGACUUUGCACUUGGGAUACAGUGGGUGCAGGUUUGAUCCCUGGUCAGGGAA